AAGACUUUAAGUUAAUAAAACUAACAUCCUUCAAAGUUGUAAAAAAAAGAAGUUCUUUUAGGUCUUA
rnacentral:tRNA from 1 species